GAGUGUGGAUGGCCAUUUCUGCACGAUAAUAGUCCCAUUCACUGAUGCAGCAUUCGACCCUUGUUGUCCUUCUGAUCAAAUUAACGCAGGUUCUUUACAUUUGACAAAGAAUGGCCGAAUGCUUGGUGUGUCUCAUCUGCUUUUGCAUGAGGUCUGAUGCGGUUGGAUCCGAUAAAUCGUUGGAGGUAUGGCACUUUCCCACUGAUAUGGUUUGGAUUUCUCUCAGCAGCUAACAUUAUCCUCUCUUUUUAUUCCUUUUUCCAUGAGUCUCAUGAUAUAACUGGUAACCGCUAGCAUGUCCUUACAUAUGAUACCAUGUCAUGCACCAAGGAAUAGAUCCACCGAAGAAAAAUUCGUGGGUCUUCCCAGAACUUUGUAAAGCCUGACUAGUGUAUUGCUAGAUGAGAUGCGCCCACAUGGUUUAUUCGUGCUUAACCCACAAGUGUGCCCGCUUUCUCUUUUAUAAGUAAGAUCGUGCGGAGCUCACUGAAGAUGAAGGAAGAAGGCGAAAAUAAAUGCACAGUCCAGCAUGCCAAAAGGGAAAAGUCUAAACAGCUUCCGCUUUCGCAGGACCAGAGUUACAUGCCACCUCACUUGCGCAAACGCACCAAAUGGGCCUCGGCCACAACAAUGCCUACUUUUGUGGAAUCAGCUUUAAUCUUUGAGUUACUCAAAAAAAGAAGACAAAAUCAGUAACAUGAGGGUAAGAAC